rnacentral:rRNA from 1 species
ACGAACGCUGGCGGCGUGCUUAACACAUGCAAGUCGAACGGUGAAGCGCCUUCCUUUUUGGUGGGUGUGGAUGAGUGGCGAACGGGUGAGUAACACGUGAGUAACCUGCCCCCUUCUUCUGGAUAACCGCAUGAAAGUGUGGCUAAUACGGGAUAUUCUGGGUCUGUCGCAUGAUGGGUCUGGGAAAGAUAUUGUUUCGGUGGGGGAAGGGCUCGCGGCCUAUCAGCUUGUUGGUGGGGUGAUGGCCUACCAAGGCGGUGACGGGUAGCCGGCCUGAGAGGGUGGAUGGUCACACUGGGACUGAGACACGGCCCAGACUCCUACGAGAGGCAGCAGUGGGGAAUAUUGCACAAUGGGCGCAAGCCUGAUGCAGCGACGCCGCGUGAGGGAUGGAGGCCUUCGGGUUGUGAACCUCUUUCGCCAGUGAAGCAGGCCUGCCUCGUUUGUGGGUGGGUUGACGGUAGCUGGAGAAGAAGCGCCGGCUAACUACGUG